CCAACCAAACCUCAUCCCCUCAGGAAUAAUAAAGAUUCUACUUUUCAUUUACCGAGAUGACUGAAGAAAGAAUCCACUUUUCGCUUAUGUAACUCGGGAAUGUGACACUUUCCCUUUUGAGGAAAGCCCAGCCAACCUUCUUUUGAGUAAUGAAAGAAGAAGAUUGUAAAGACCCCCUCACCAGGUAACGAGUAACGAGUUGAAAAAAAAAACAAAGGAAAGGUUUUGUUGAUAGCACUGCCAUUCACCUUGCAGAACCCGAAGACUGUCCUUUUUCCCCCUUGCUAAAGCCCUUCUUCUUGCGGCGAGGGAAAGCGCAUAUCGCACCCUUACCCUUAGCUUAGGAAAUCUUCCUUUGUAUCUCGUUCUCCUG
rnacentral:lncRNA from 1 species